UUUGAGUGUUACUAAUUUUGUUUUUAAUUAAGUAUUGUCUGGGACAAAAAGUUACAAUAAUAAUGGCUUGAUUCAUUGAUCUGCUAUUCUCUCUUCAGUCAACUGAUUUAAAUGGGGAAGCUUAGUAAUAAAUUGUUUGUGCAGCUCUUGUUUAUAAGAUGUGUUGUAUGUUUCAUUUUUAGUUAUAGUAUAAUAAAUUCAUAUGAUGAAUUUAUUUAAAUCUUCAGUCCAUUUCAUAUGUCAGCAUGGUUAUUCAUCUUGGGGUCUUUGGCUGUAAUGUAAUAAAAACAUCCAAAGGUGGGGUUCUCUGAUCUUUAGAGCAAUUUCUUACAGUAGCCAUACAUGAGGCAGUGCUGUUUGCACCACUGUUGUUCAUGGGAAACUGUGACUUACUUUUCAAACAGGAUCCUCUGCCUAAGUCUUGAAUGUGGUCCUUUUUCUGUGAGACCAAAUACAGUAUUGAUAGUUUUUGUUUUCAUCAUUAUGUCAUCCAUGAGGAGAUUGGUUUCUCUUUUAGUUUGGCUCCUACCCACAGAAAUCUAUCUGGCUUAGUAAACCUAGCGAAUAGCAAAGUUACUGCUGGUGUAACUCUUAGGGUUGUCAGAGCAUGCAUGCCCAUCCACCAAAGUUGAUCAGAAAGCCAUCCCAUAUUUCAACGUGGAGAUACCAGCAAAAAGAUUAUUAUUAUUAUUAUUGUUAUUGUAGUUGUUUAUCAUGUGAGCACGGAAUAACUCCGGAGUAAAGUGCUAUGUCGGAC
rnacentral:lncRNA from 1 species